rnacentral:misc_RNA from 1 species
GGAAGUAAAAAACAAGGUCUCCGUUGGUGAACCAGCGGAGGGAUCAUUACCGAGUUUACAACUCCCAAACCCCUGUGAACUUAUACCUUUACUGUUGCUUCGGCGGGUCAUUGCCCCGGGGAAACAGGCGGCCGUCAGGUCCCUGCCCACCCGGAAACAGGCGCCCGCCGGGGGACUCAAACUCUUCUGUAUUUUUUUGUUUACUGUAUACUGUCUGAGUAAAAAUUCAUAAUGAAUCAAAACUUUCAACAACGGAUCUCUUGGUUCUG